GAUGAACGCUGGCGGCGUGCUUAACACAUGCAAGUCGAACGGGCUCUUCGGAGCUAGUGGCGGACGGGUGAGUAACGCGUGAGAAUCUGCCUACAGGACGGGGACAACAGUUGGAAACGACUGCUAAUACCCGAUGUGCCGAGAGGUGAAACAUUUAUGGCCUGUAGAUGAGCUCGCGUCUGAUUAGCUAGUUGGUGGGGUAAGGGCCUACCAAGGCGACGAUCAGUAGCUGGUCUGAGAGGAUGAUCAGCCACACUGGGACUGAGACACGGCCCAGACUCCUACGGGAGGCAGCAGUGGGGAAUUUUCCGCAAUGGGCGCAAGCCUGACGGAGCAACGCCGCGUGGGGGAGGAAGGUUUUUGGACUGUAAACCCCUUUUCUCAGGGAAGAAGAAAGUGACGGUACCUGAGGAAUAAGCCUCGGCUAAUUCCGUGCCAGCAGCCGCGGUAAUACGGGAGAGGCAAGCGUUAUCCGGAAUUAUUGGGCGUAAAGCGUCCGCAGGCGGUUAAUCAAGUCUGUUGUCAAAGCGUGGGGCUCAACCUCAUACAGGCAAUGGAAACUGAUUGACUAGAGUAUGGUAGGGGUAGCGGGAAUUCCAGGUGUAGCGGUGAAAUGCGUAGAUAUCUGGAAGAACACCAGCGGCGAAAGCGCGCUACUGGGCCAUAACUGACGCUCAUGGACGAAAGCUAGGGGAGCGAAAGGGAUUAGAUACCCCUGUAGUCCUAGCCGUAAACGAUGAACACUAGGUGUUGCGUGAAUCGACCCGCGCAGUGCCGUAGCCAACGCGUUAAGUGUUCCGCCUGGGGAGUACGCACGCAAGUGUGAAACUCAAAGGAAUUGACGGGGGCCCGCACAAGCGGUGGAGUAUGUGGUUUAAUUCGAUGCAACGCGAAGAACCUUACCAGGGUUUGACAUCCCCCGAAUCUCUUGGAAACGAGAGAGUGCCUUCGGGAGCGGGGAGACAGGUGGUGCAUGGCUGUCGUCAGCUCGUGUCGUGAGAUGUUGGGUUAAGUCCCGCAACGAGCGCAACCCACGUUUUUAGUUGCCAUCAUUCAGUUGGGCACUCUAGAGAAACUGCCGGUGACAAACCGGAGGAAGGUGUGGACGACGUCAAGUCAUCAUGCCCCUUACAUCCUGGGCUACACACGUACUACAAUGCUCCGGACAGCGAGACGCGAAGCCGCGAGGUGAAGCAAAUCUCCCAAACCGGGGCUCAGUUCAGAUUGCAGGCUGCAACUCGCCUGCAUGAAGGCGGAAUCGCUAGUAAUCGCAGGUCAGCAUACUGCGGUGAAUACGUUCCCGGGCCUUGUACACACCGCCCGUCACACCAUGGAAGUUGGCCAUGCCCGAAGUCGUUACCCUAACCGUUCGCGGAGGGGGGCGCCGAAGGUAGGGCUGAUGACUGGGGUG
rnacentral:rRNA from 3 species